rnacentral:lncRNA from 1 species
CCGAUUCAGCCCUGAGGCAGAAAAACUGGACAAAGCAGUUUUUUUCCCCCUUCCCCUUUAUAGAGUGUGUGAUUUGUGCAACAGCUUUGGCUUGGCAAAUAGGGAAGUGUCAGCGCUAAAUCAGCUUUACUCUAAGGGCACGGUACGCCUGUGUUUCUCAACCGAGUGAUACCCAAAUCCAGGACCAUUUUACUUCAAGUGGAAUACACACACAGAGCAAACAUUCUCAAGUCUUACAAAGUGGCCAGACCUCAUCCAAUUGGCUGAAGAUCCACCUAAGAGGACUGAAUGCGCGAUCCUGCUGCAAGAAGCAUGGUGGACGCCUACCCAGUGGGUUAGAAGAGGUUGAGCAACACAAGUCUUCCAUACCAGGUGACUUAAAGACAACAGUGAGGAUAUCCAUAUUCUGGAGGUUGGAUCUCUGGGAAAGCUGGUCACUGGCUUCUGCCUGGCAUGAAGGGUACAGAAGGUAGGAUUUCCUUCUUUAAGGUGUUUGGUAUAUGAAACUGCGUGUUUCUGGCCUGUGCUACCUUGUCCCAGUUUAAAGCCCACUGUACUAGCUUGACAUCUGGCUGAGGCAUGAUCCCUUUCUUUUCAUUUCAUUCAGCCUUGAUCUCCCAAUUGGCCUUUGACUGCUGACUUUCGUACUCUUUUUGGUUCCAGACUGUCUGCUUGGCCUGACCUUGUGCUUAAUGCUUGACCUCUCCAUGACUCCUAGGAACCAUACCCUGAACCUAGAUUGACUGCUGUCCACAGCUCAGUCAGAAAAUGGAAGCCUUUAGAAUAAAUGAAUUAUCAAAGAGAGGAGAAAUACAUAAGUACAGGUCUCUGGGUCAAACCUUGUGAAAUGCUCAAAGUAAAGGAAAGGAAGUAGAGAAUAAAAAGGGAAUAAAAGACACAGAAAAGGUGGAAGAGCAUAAAGGGGAAUAAAUAUAUUCAUGAAGAAAUUAGUCAAAUGAGUGAAAUUCUACAGAAAUAUCAUACAGAAUAAAGUGUGCAUCAAGUUCAUUGGAUUGUGCAAACAGGAAGCCAUUGAUGAUCUUUAAAUACAUCCUAGAAUUUAGUUGCUAGAUAAUUUUGGUACUGAUUUAAAUGUACUUCACCAUUUAGAAAUGAACAUAUGUUUCCAUAUGUGUAAAUACAGACUUUUCUAAGAGAUGAUUUGGCUUAAUUCUUACUGAAGGUAAGAAGAAGAAAUGUGUGCGUAUGGGUGUAGGUGACUAGUAGGGAGGAGAAGCACUUAAGAUUUUAAACUUUUUUCUUGGUUCUCUUUCCCCCCUUCUUUCUCCCUCUUACAAAUCCAAAUAUGUAGAAGUAAGAAACCAUGGUCUCAUUUGAGGGCUGUGCUUUGGGUUAGGCAAGGCAAGUAUAUGCUUGCUGUGCAGAAAAAAAAAAGACCCAUUUUUUUUUUUUUUGUUCACCCAUCUCAAACUCUGAUUUACUGCUCUUAAAACCUAGCAAC